CAAUCUGGUAAGAGAAAAUAUUUUCCACUGAUGGUGAAAAAGGUCUUUCACGUUCAGGCAAGAGCUCUGAGCCAGAUUUCAGACUGCCAGGGUACUACUUCAUUCCCAUUCACUUAUCAUUCAUUUAGUUUGCAGAUAUUUAUUAUCUUCACAUUACGUGCUAAGCGCUAUGCGUUGGGAGUCAUUGCUCUGAAAACGCAUCGCACACUCCACGGAUACAGACUACUUCUAGUUCCGCUCAUCUUCACCCAAGUUCUAUUAAGAAGAAACAAAACCAGACGCAGACGAGGGGCUUACGCAACACUGACUUCUGGAAGUGCGGGACACUGAGAAGAGCAAGCCACGGCAGCUCUGGUCCCGUGAGGGCCCUCUCGGUUUGCAGGCUGCCCAGCUGUCACCGCGUCACGGCUCUGACUGCGCUCCCGACCCCUGUAACCACAAGCGUGUAACUGAACACACAGGAAGCCUGACUCUCUGAUGGUCGUUCAUCCGGCCCUGUAACCGCCGAUCUCACCCUGCUAGCUCAUCAGAACAACUGCCGGCCGUCCUCUCCCACCCCUGCGACCGCUGCUUAUGCCACAUGCUGGCAUUUCACAAGCAGGAAUGCUGAACUGUCCUCGUACAAAAUCAAGACGUGCAGAGGCGAGGAAACAGCAGCGCCCCGUGAUGCGUCCUAAGGGAACAGGCCUGGCCCUGCCUGUGCCACGGGUAAC